rnacentral:rRNA from 1 species
AUGCAAGUCGAACGCACAGCGAAAGGUGCUUGCACCUUUCAAGUGAGUGGCGAACGGGUGAGUAACACGUGGACAACCUGCCUCAAGGCUGGGGAUAACAUUUGGAAACAGAUGCUAAUACCGAAUAAAACUUAGUAUCGCAUGAUACCAGGUUAAAAGGCGCUACGGCGUCACCUAGAGAUGGAUCCGCGGUGCAUUAGUUAGUUGGUGGGGUAAAGGCCUACCAAGACAAUGAUGCAUAGCCGAGUUGAGAGACUGAUCGGCCACAUUGGGACUGAGACACGGCCCAAACUCCUACGGGAGGCUGCAGUAGGGAAUCUUCCACAAUGGGCGAAAGCCUGAUGGAGCAACGCCGCGUGUGUGAUGAAGGCUUUCGGGUCGUAAAGCACUGUUGUAUGGGAAGAAAAGUUAAGGUAGGGAAUGACCUUAGCCUGACGGUACCAUACCAGAAAGGGACGGCUAAAUACGUGCCAGCAGCCGCGGUAAUACGUAUGUCCCGAGCGUUAUCCGGAUUUAUUGGGCGUAAAGCGAGCGCAGACGGUUGGUUAAGUCUGAUGUGAAAGCCCGGAGCUCAACUCCGGAAAGGCAUUGGAAACUGGUUAACUUGAGUGCAGUAGAGGUAAGUGGAACUCCAUGUGUAGCGGUGGAAUGCGUAGAUAUAUGGAAGAACACCAGCGGCGAAGGCGGCUUACUGGACUGUAACUGACGUUGAGGCUCGAAAGUGUGGGUAGCAAACAGGAUUAGAUACCCUGGUAGUCCACACCGUAAACGAUGAACACUAGGUGUUAGGAGGUUUCCGCCUCUUAGUGCCGAAGCUAACGCAUUAAGUGUUCCGCCUGGGGAGUACGACCGCAAGGUUGAAACUCAAAGGGAAUUGACGGGGACCCGCACAAGCGGUGGAGCAUGUGGUUUAAUUCGAAGCAACGCGAAGAAC